rnacentral:rRNA from 1 species
CGAGGAAUAUUGGUCAAUGGGCGCAAGCCUGAACCAGCCAUCCCGCGUGCAGGAAGACGGCGCUAUGCGUUGUAAACUGCUUUUCCAGGGGGAGAAACUUGCGCACGUGUUGCGCAAUUGACGGUACCCUGGGAAUAAGCAUCGGCUAACUCCGUGCCAGCAGCCGCGGUAAUACGGAGGAUGCGAGCGUUAUCCGGAUUCAUUGGGUUUAAAGGGUGCGUAGGCGGACUAUUAAGUCAGUGGUGAAAUCCUGCAGCUUAACUGCAGAACUGCCAUUGAUACUGACAGCCUUGAGUUUGGUUAAGGUAGGCGGAAUGUGUAAUGUAGCGGUGAAAUGCUUAGAUAUUACACAGAACACCAAUUGCGUAGGCAGCUUACUGAGCCGACACUGACGCUGAGGCACGAAAGCGUGGGGAUCGAACAG